AUACGGAGGGUGCAAGCGUUAAUCGGAAUUACUGGGCGUAAAGCGCGCGUAGGCGGCUUGGUAAGUCGGAUGUGAAAGCCCCGGGCUUAACUUGGGAAUUGCAUUCGAAACUGCCGGGCUAGAGUAUGGGAGAGGGAAGUGGAAUUUCCGGUGUAGCGGUGAAAUGCGUAGAUAUCGGAAGGAACACCAGUGGCGAAGGCGACUUCCUGGCCCAAUACUGACGCUCAGGUGCGAAAGCGUGGGGAGCAAACAGGAUUAGAAACCCCGGUAGUCC
rnacentral:rRNA from 1 species